GUUUUACUUCCGUGUUUAUGAGUAUCAAAUUUGUUUCCUCAGUAAAGAUUUAGGACGUUCCAUCAGUUUUCUUGAAUGCCUGCCUAUGAAAUUCAGGACCUGUAGGAAUAUGGAAAAUGUCUUAAACUUCUCCUUGGAUGAACUCAUAUUGGGAGGACUUUCCAUCAGUUUUCUUCCUUCACUUGAUGGUUUGUCCAUGACCGAUGAACCUUAAACGUUAAGGUUAAGUGAAUUUGCCACAAAAAUAACAGAACAACGUUGAGCUAAAAGAUUAUUGUGGAAAUUAAUAUUUUUGUCCUGGUAUGCUUGGUAAUUUUGUGAGGUUUUGGUUUGUAGUUGGACUUGAUAAGAUUAUGGCAAACUAUACUACUGAAGGUCCUAAAAUGCUACUUAACAUCAGUUUCUGUUUAAAUGCGAGUGUCAGUAGAAAUUGAAGUGAAAGUCAGACCUUGUAGAGGGUUGUAGAAUAGUUUUUGAAAGCUAGCUCAUACAUUUUUUACCUAUUAAUAUCCCAAAAGGAGUUACUAGUAUGAGAAAUAAAACCAUACGUUUUCACUGGUUUUAACUACGGAAAGAUUAAGAGGGUCAAAGGUCUUGAAGAAUCAGCAAGUUAUCAAGUAGAAUAUAGAACUAUCAGAAAAUACAUCCUUUCAUCAUAACUAUCAUUUGUAUUCAUAUGCCUAAUCAAAUUUUCAGGUUUCUUCAGUAAAGAUUCUGUUUUUCACCUAUCUAGUUACCAAUUUCAAGUAGACACCUUUUUUAGAAGAAAGAAGAAGCAAGAUAUUUGGCGAGGAAAAAUAUGACAUUCUUGACGAGGCAAAACAAUGGGUUUUUGAAUCAGUUUGUAGUGCUUGGAGAAAGUAUAAGACUCAAUUGAAGGCAAUCCACUUCACAGCCUAUGAGAAUGAUGAGCUUCGAAUGGAGAAUAGGCCAGUAGAUGUUCCGGAAUCUCACUUUAAGGAUCUUAAAUAUUGGAACUCCGAUCCACACAAGAAAAUGUCCUAAACCAAUACAGAGAAUCGAAGUAAGUUGAAGUGUCCGCACACUGCUGGCAGAACACCUUUUGCUCUAAUUCACGAGGAAAAAAAGAAGGAAAUCUCUGAUACUUCAGAUACUCUAUCAAGUAACGACAUCUUUGUGGCUAAAAGAAAAAGAAAACUUGGCCGAGUAUACAAAAGCUCAUAUGACAAUACGAUUAGUAAAAUUGCUGAAAUGGAGAGAAUACAAUCAACUCAGGAAAGUAAAGAUGACAGUCAUUCAGUUGACGUUUUUGCAUCAGUCAUGGGACAUGAAAAUCCAGGUCCCGUGAGAUUGUAUAGACGAAGGGUUAGAAAGACUUUAUUAAACGGGUAAAAAGGGAAUCUUGCAUCUUCUUUAGAUGAUGAUGAGAGGAUGCAAUAUAAAAUAGAGGAAAUGGAAGAGAGGAUGCAACAAAGAAUACAUGAAAAGUUGAACGAACAAAAGGAUGCUAUGGAACAAAAUAUUACAAUGAACGUCAUCGCACGACUUCAGCGUUUGAACCCAGAUUUACAACUUGAUCCUGACAUGUUAAGGCUCAGUGCUUGUUCACCUGUAGAUGCUUACUCAUCACAACAAGCUAUUGUUCAACUAAACAGUCGACCAUCUGCUGGUAGUAACAAUCAAGGUGAAGUAGAUCAAGAAAUGGAUGAUGAAGAUGAUGAAGAACUAGAUCUUACUUGAGAUGAAUUUUGAAUUAUUAUCGAUGAAUGUUCUAGGAAUCUGUUGUUACCAACAAUUUUUGAAACUUAUUUACACUCUUGAAAUGAACUAAACUUAUGCACUCAUGAGGUUGAACAUUUG